rnacentral:rRNA from 1 species
CCUACGGGUUGCACCAGUGGGGAAUAUUGCACAAUGGGCGCAAGCCUGAUGCAGCCAUGCCGCGUGUAUGAAGAAGGCCUUCGGGUUGUAAAGUACUUUCAGCGAGGAGGAAGGCGUUAAGGUUAAUAACCUUAGCGAUUGACGUGACUCGCAGAAGAAGCACCGGCUAACUCCGUGCCAGCAGCCGCGGUAAUACGGAGGGUGCAAGCGUUAAUCGGAAUUACUGGGCGUAAAGCGCACGCAGGCGGUCUGUCAAGUCGGAUGUGAAAUCCCCGGGCUCAACCUGGGAACUGCAUUCGAAACUGGCAGGCUAGAGUCUUGUAGAGGGGGGUAGAAUUCCAGGUGUAGCGGUGAAAUGCGUAGAGAUCUGGAGGAAUACCGGUGGCGAAGGCGGCCCCCUGGACAAAGACCGACGCUCAGGUGCGAAAGCGUGGGGAGCAAACAGGAUUAGAUACCCCAGUAGUC